CGCUCAGGACGAACGCUGGCGGCGUGCUUAACACAUGCAAGUCGAACGAUGAUGCCCAGCUUGCUGGGUGGAUUAGUGGCGAACGGGUGAGUAACACGUGAGUAACCUGCCCCUGACUCUGGGAUAAGCGUUGGAAACGACGUCUAAUACUGGAUAUGACUGCCGGCCGCAUGGUCUGGUGGUGGAAAGAUUUUUUGGUUGGGGAUGGACUCGCGGCCUAUCAGCUUGUUGGUGAGGUAAUGGCUCACCAAGGCGACGACGGGUAGCCGGCCUGAGAGGGUGACCGGCCACACUGGGACUGAGACACGGCCCAGACUCCUACGGGAGGCAGCAGUGGGGAAUAUUGCACAAUGGGCGAAAGCCUGAUGCAGCAACGCCGCGUGAGGGAUGACGGCCUUCGGGUUGUAAACCUCUUUUAGUAGGGAAGAAGCGAAAGUGACGGUACCUGCAGAAAAAGCACCGGCUAACUACGUGCCAGCAGCCGCGGUAAUACGUAGGGUGCAAGCGUUGUCCGGAAUUAUUGGGCGUAAAGAGCUCGUAGGCGGUUUGUCGCGUCUGCUGUGAAAUCCCGAGGCUCAACCUCGGGCUUGCAGUGGGUACGGGCAGACUAGAGUGCGGUAGGGGAGAUUGGAAUUCCUGGUGUAGCGGUGGAAUGCGCAGAUAUCAGGAGGAACACCGAUGGCGAAGGCAGAU
rnacentral:rRNA from 1 species